rnacentral:tRNA from 1 species
GGCGAUGUAGCUUAGUGGGAGAGCACUUGCCUUGUAAGCAUGAGCCCUUGGGUUCAGUCUCCUAAUUUGGGGGGAGGAAAAACCCUUCCGUUUCCA